AAAGGGCAACAUUUAUCAUUAUAUCUUCACAUUUCAACUACAUAUUUCAAAUGGAAAACAAGCAUGUACUUCACAGAUCAUUCAUGGUCCAAGGAAUACCUGGAUAUCAAAACAAAGCAAAAUGGAGUGAGGAUUUCAGCAAAAGCAAAAAUAUGAGCACAUCAACAGCAAGAUUCAGCUUCUUUGAACUCUCUUUAAACCCAGAAAACCAGAAAUUUCAUGAAAGCUCUUUAAAUUCUAAAAGAAAAAUCAGAAAACCAUUCGAGCCAGUAAUGCAGAAACUUUUUUUUAUGUGUAUUUUCUAGGGUCUGAAUCUCUGAAUGUGUGUAUCAUUUUCAGAAUGAUAGUGUCUAUAUAUAGGCUGCCUAGGGUGGGUAUUUUUUAUGAACAUUCCUUAUCCUAAUUUUGAAAAUAGUAGUGUCCUUCCUCACAGCCCUGGUACAACUGUCCUUCUUAUCCUAUUUUCAGCAUCUUUUCUAAUAGAAAUGGAAUAACUAUCAACCUCUAAUUGGUUUCAACAUUUUUGUACUGGCCAAAUAGGGCCAGCUGCCCCAAGUUCUAAAAGCUCCUAACACUAACCUUAUCUUAAAGUCCUAUUUCUAUUUCCCAAAUUAAUCACUAAGUUUUCAUUUGUUCAAUUAAGACCCUAGGAGUUUCUACCAAUUUACAAAUCAUGGCAAACAAAACAAAACCAGAAGGGAUCAAAAAUUCAAAUUAAAUUGCCUAACAAAAUCAUGAUGCUGGAAUUCAAACCUAAAAACUAAAUCAAUCAGUAAAUAGAAUUGUUUACCUAAUUAAACCUAACAAAAACUGAAUUUAAAUAAACACAAAAUGACAAACAAAGGAAAAAACAUGGCAAUACACAUGAACCCUAACAAUUAACUUAAUGAAACCACAAUGUAUUCAAUCUAAAACUAGAAUGGACCUGCAAAAAUGAGCAUGGAGCAUAAGAUAAAAGCAUGAAAGAAACAACGAAAUAAUUUCAAUGUGUCAAACCUAAAAAAUGAAUCCUAAUUAAACUAAUUUUAUGCCAUUGAAGAUAAAUUUCAAAUACUAAGAUACCAAUGUUUUAAUUAACCUAAUAAACAAAAACAAACAGACAAACCAAAAAGCCAUGAACAACAGGAAAGAAAACCUAAAAUUGCAAAAUUAAAAUAUGCAGCCAAAAUACAAAUAAUUAGACAUGCAGAAGAGGAACCAAAGAUAAAACAAACAAAAAAAAGAGAAAGAAAUUUACCUAAGCAUUUUAUUAAUACUGGAGCAGUUAUGAACUCGUUCAAACUUCCAAAAGGGGGGGGGAUAUGAACUUGUUUAUCCUUUAGUUGACUGUUCUUUGUCAAGAACAGUCAGCUAAUGGGCGUUUUGGGUUCAUGUAACCCGUCCUUAACCAAAAAUCAAAAAGGCGGAAUUAGGGUUUUCAGAAUCUUUGAUUCAAGAUUCGAAAAGAUUUGGGUUGAUUCGAAAGGAACUAUGGGGAUAUUUGGGUAUAGGAGUAGAAGGUGAUUACAGGGUAUAAUUUUGGUGGGGUUUGGUGCACCGGAAUCGCCGUGAGGCAAUUUUCGGUGGGUGGUUAAUGGUGGAGGCGGCGAAGGCAUAAGGGGGCGGCUGGUCUCUAGGGUUUGGGUGAGACUGAAUGAAGG
rnacentral:lncRNA from 1 species